CAAUCACAAGCGGGAGCAAAGGUUGCCUACUUGGUCGAGAGUAGGAUGAUGGUAUUUGCUGUCCACCACGGUGUGACCUGGGCUGUGAAGAUAUGCUUUCCGCGACUGCGCAAAACUCUAACAACUUGAGUACACAUACGCAAUAUCGAAUAUCGUAUAAACGGUUUCAGAACAGAAAUAAAUUUAAUGAUAAAACGAUGGCCCCUCAGUCUAAUCAUACAAGGCGAUAGAUAUGUGUGUCUUGCUUGUGCGCGCUUUCUAGCUAUAAGCUUAAUAGAAAGCAUGUGAUGCCAAGUUACCAUGCUUUCGUCACAACAGACACGAUAUAAAAUUCUAUGUGUGUAGGUGAAGUGUUAAGGUGGAUUACCUGUCUAUCUGAUGAAUAUGCUGAUACCGUUAUUGAAUAGAGAAACUUCGUGGUCUGGUGGUUGUUAUCGAACACGAUGGAAGCGGACCUCCCUUCUUCUUUUGACUGUCCUCUUGUUAACAGAAACAGCAAGUGGUUGCGGACCAGGACGGAGUGGCUACCGGCGCCGCGUAGAUCAUAGGCUGACGCCGCUUGUCUUCAAGCAACACAUCCCUAAUGUCUCUGAAAAAACCCUCACUGCCAGUGGACUCCCUGAAAAGAGUAUCAGUCGCGAUGAUCCUCGUUUUAAAGACUUGGUGCCAAAUUAUAAUCAAGAUAUUGUGUUCAAAGAUGAAGAAGGUACAGGAGCAGACCGCCUGAUGACCAGGAGAUGCAAGGAGAAGCUGGACACACUAGCCAUUUCAGUAAUGAACGAGUGGCCAGGGGUCAAGGUUCGAGUUACUGAAGCUUGGGACGAAGAAAGGUUUCACGCCUCUGAAUCGCUUCACUACGAAGGUCGAGCAGUGGACAUCACGACCAAUGACAGAGACAGAACCAAAUACGGAACCCUGGCUAGAUUAGCGGUGGAGGCAGGUUUUGAUUGGGUUUAUUACGAAUCUCGUUCUCAUAUACACUGCUCUGUAAAAUCAGAAUCCACCGAUGAAGCAAGAUCUGGAGGAUGUUUCCACGGAAAUGGCGUGGUGACGACUAGAAAGGGACUUCUGCGGCUUUCUGAGGUUCGAGUUGGUGAUGAAGUCCUAGCUGUCGACCGCUUUGGACAUCCUGUUUUUAGUGAGGUUCUCCUCUUCUUAGACCGUGACACAGAAUCUAAACGCCAAUUUUAUGUUAUUGUGACGGAAGAAGGAAUUAAGAUAACUCUUACACCCAAUCAUCUUAUAUAUUUAGUGACAGCGAACUCUAGUGUAGAAAAUAUGUCAAACAGUUCUGUUACUUAUGCCAGAAACGUAGAACCUGGAGACUUCAUUUAUGUACACAUGCGAACUGCGCAACAUGAACUGCAACUGCAACGAGUGAAACAUGUGAACGUCAGGACUGAUGUUGGCGUUGUGGCACCUCUUACCAGAGAGGGUAACUUGAUUGUGGAUAACGUAUUGGCAUCCUGCUAUGCAAUUAUUGACGAUCAAUCUUUAGCACACUGGUCAUUUGGACCAGUGAGAUUAAUAAAAAAUUUGAAAGACUCAAUCUUCCAUAUUCUGCAACGGCUUCACAUUCUUUCAGAAAGAACUGUUUUGAACAAAAGAGACAAAAGCCAUCAGAAAGGGAUUCACUGGUAUGCAGAAUUGUUAUAUAGUGUUGCUCCUUAUGUACUUCCUAAAGUAAAUCUAUAUGACUAAAUGUCAAAAGAACGAAAAGAUAACAUUUAUAUCAGCAAAAGCUUUAAAUUAUUAAACCAUCUUCAUUUGAAUAUCAGAUAAUCUUGUACGUAAAAAAAACGAAAUUUUCUUUCAAAAAACAACAUUUUUGACUGUGGCGUCAUCUAGCGAGGUUAAAUGAUGGUGCUGAAUUAGUGUUCCUACUAUAUUUGGAUGAAUGUCGCUAAUUUUUUUUUAAAUUUUUAAAUCUAUACUUAUCGCAAAUACUACGACGAAGAUUUUGUUUUAUAUUUGUUAUAAGUUAAGAAAUGUUUUUAUUCUACAAAAGAGUUAAAGCAUUUAGCAUGAGCUCGCUCUAAUGUAAUAUUAACCAGUAAUUAAUACUGUUAAAAAGAGAUAACCAGCUAUAUUUAUUGGACUUUUUUGUGGCUAUAAACAGAGAAUGCUGUAGUAUCUUUUUGUAUGACCUUUCUCGCCUUAUUUAAAUGGUGUUUAUUUCACUGAAAUCCUUAAGUUUACAGUUCAUUGUACAAUUUUUUUUUAUUCUAUCCUGCGAGCAGGGAGUUGGAGUUUAUAGAUCACUCAGACCGAGGUUUUAAGGAAUCAUAUAUAUAAAUUCAAACCUUGCUGUUUUUGACAUAAUCUUUCAUUUGGUUGUGAAUAAAACUCACAAACUUGCCACGUGAAGUACUUGGGUCAUUUGUAAAAGGAUAGGAAAUAUAAUUCACGAACAGGCUCAUCUGUGUAUUUUAAACGAUUCGAAGAUCAAGCUAAAAAGAAGAGAUAAGUUUUUGCGUAUACACGCUAAGGCUUCUUGAAAUGUAUAGAUUCUAAUUAUAAAAAAUCAUGGUGAACGACGAACAUUUUAUGUGAUGAUUAAUUUAACAGCCUUUCCACCUAUUUUAACUAAGGCAAUGAAUUCAACCAUCUAGCUUUCAAAAGACUCAUACGAUUUGCAAACAUAUGUAGCAAUGGUUGAUUGAUAGAAUGAGUCUCUUCUUGAUAUCACGACUAAUAUGGACCUUUAUUCAUCUUUAAGAUCGUGGCUAAUCAUGGUCAUUAUUGGGUAAUACAUGUCUCUUUAAGAGUGGCUAAUCAUGGUCAUCAUUGGGUAAUACAUGUCUCUUUAAGAUCGUGACUAAUCAUGGUCAUUAUUAGGUAAUAUACGUCUCUCUUAGAUCAUGUGUAAUGGCGGUUCAUUAGGUAAUAGGUUUCUCUUUUCGAUCGUGUCUUCUGGAGGUUCAUUAGGUAAUAGGUGUCUCUUUUAGAUCGUGUCUAAUGGAGGUCAUCAUUAGGUAAUAGGUUUCUCUUUUAGAUCAUGUCUAAUGACGGUCAUCAUUCAGUAAGAGCUGUCUCUUUUAGAUCAGGUCUAAUGACGGUCAUCAUUAGGUAAUAGGUGUCUCUUUUAGAUCAUGUCUAAUGACGGUCAUCAUUCAGUAAGAGCUGUCUCUUUUAGAUCAUGUCUAAUGAUGGUCAUAAUUAGGUAAUUGGUAUCUCUGUUAUAUCAUGUUUCAUGAUAUUCAUCAUUAGGUAAUGAAUGUUUCUUUGAGAUUAAUCCAAUCAACGAGCAUUAUCAUUACCAUUGAAAGUCCGUAUCAUUUAUUGAAAUAGCAGUGUAUUAAGUAUAGAUACGUUUCUAUUUCGUACUUAUCCUGGCAUAGUUAUUUUCUAUAUUGCAAUUUUAUAUAUGAGUAUACACUGGAUUUUUAGAAUGUUUUAUUUUGUUUGCGCCAAACAUUUUAUUUGGAUAUAAAAACUUAAGCCAUGAUGUAGAAGUAAACAAUCUAUGCACUCGGAUACGUAUAUCUAGUCUGGUUGUUUAGAAGUUCUCGUAUCAGCAUGAUUAUAACAUUAUUUUAUGUUUGUAAAAACACACGCUUCUUGUUUAUAAAAUAUUAUUAAAUAACUAUUUCCAUUAGACUUUUCAGAACUGCUGACAUUUUGAAAUAUUUCUGCAAAAUCGUCCAUAUUAUUUUUUGUGGGUAUUAUUGAAAUCAAUUAGUGAGAAAACUGUGUAUAUGUAUAUAUGUAUAGGUGUAGAUAAUGGUUUAAAUACAAAUGAGUUUUGAUGGUAGAGUAACGAUUAAUGUUUAAUAUUAUUGAAAGAUUAAAGGACAGUAAGAAGUCAUAUUAGUGGUAAAUAAAUUAGAAAUAUACUCUUGUUAGAAAUUUACCGCAAAACGUUUUUUUUUGUGUGUGUGUGUUUUGUUUUUCUGGUAGAGAGAUUAGUUAAUAUGGGACCGUAUUCAUAUAGCCAAAAUCUGUGGACCUUACUCGUAUAUUACAGGCAAAACUGUGGAUCGUACCCGUAUAACCAAAAUCUGUGGAACCUAACGUAUAGGCAAAAUCUGUGAUCUUACUCGUAUAGAAAAUUUGUAGACCUUACUUAAAGAUAAAAUAUAUACGUUUUCAUUAAGAACUAUUUUUUAAAAUAUUUAAUUCCAUGCUUUUAGUGUCAAUUCAAAAAAAGUGGCAACAUUUUCUCAUGUUGUGAAAUAAAGUAGCAUAUUGGAAUCAUGAAUAGUUUGAACUGAGUUUAGAAGUCUCCCUAUCGGGCAAGUAAAGUCAUCAAUCCACUCAAGAUAAUACUUGCUAUCCGAAACUGUACUAGUAAAUCAUGACAACUUGUACGGAUUUUGCUUUCAUUUUCAGUAAAAUUUCAGGCAGAAAGUGGAACGUUUGACUGUGUAGUUCUGUGGGCUGUUUCUUCGGAAAAUUUAGGGAAGUCAACGUUUUGAUCUUAUGAAAAUUUCAAUUCAAAGAAGGUAACUUUUUCCACCUUAAACUGAACUAAUGCUAUGCACGAAUCUAAAGUUUACAACGUUGUUUAUUUCAAAUCUGCAUGAAUCUAAAGCUGGUAACAAUGGCCAGUUCAAAUACAAGCUAAGGCUAAGCAUGAAUGUAAAGUCGGCCACACUGUCUACUUCAAAUCUGAGCUAAUGCUGUGCAUGAAUCUAAAGCUGGUAACAAUGGCCAGUUCAAAUAACAGCUAAGGCUAAGCAUGAAUGUAAAGUCGGCCACAUUGUCCACUUCAAAUCUGAGCUAUUGCUGUGCUUGAAUCUAAAGCUGGUAACAAUGGCCAGUUCAAAUAACAGCUAAGGCUAAACAUGAAUGUAAAGUCGGCCACACUGUUCACUUCAAAUCUGAGCUAAUGCUGUGCAUGAAUCUAAAGCUGGUAACAAUGGCCAGUUCAAAUAACAGCUAAGGCUAAGCAUGAAUGUAAAGUCGGCCACACUGUCCACUUCAAAUCUGAGCUAAUGCUGUGCAUGAAUCUAAAGCUGGUAACAAUUGCCAGUUCAAAUAACAGCUAAGGCUAAGCAUGAAUGUAAAGUCGGCCACACUGUCUACUUCAAAUCUGAGCUAAUGCUGUGCAUGAAUCUAAAGCUGGUAACAAUGGCCAGUUCAAAUACAAGCUAAGGCUAAGCAUGAAUGUAAAGUCGGCCACACUGUCCACUUCAAAUCUGAGCUAAUGCUGUGCAUGAAUCUAAAGCUGGUAACAAUGGCCAGUUCAAAUAACAGCUAAGGCUAAGCAUGAAUGUAAAGUCGGCCACACUGUCCACUUCAAAUCUGAGCUAAUGCUGUGAUUAACGUCAAACGUCUGUGCUCUAAUUUUUGAUCUUAUUAGUGUUUGUGUGACAGCAAUAGUGUUACUGUAAUUAUCCUUUCUAGCGACAACAUUUAUUCAAACCUUAUCAGAGAAGUCCACAAAUGUUUAGAAUGUAGAAUAUAAGCAAAAAAAAAAAGAGUACAUGUAUUUAAUACUGAUUUCUUAAGCCUUUGUCUCUUAAUGUAGAUUUAAUUCUAAGUUUUAUAGCAAGAGAAGUUUGAAAAUAGUAUAAUUUUAUUGCUAUGAGGAAUUUUCUUAAGUUGCAGAAAAGGAUAUAUGUCAUCCUUAUGUAGGUAUUGUUUAGUUUCGAUUGUUUUUACUUUACGCUUUUGCCUUUAGUUUCAAGUUUGAAAGUCAUCACAUAUAUCUCAAACGUAAGCCAUAACCAUGUUGUGCCAUCUAGUGACUAAUUAUGAUAUUAUAUAAGCCUUUCAUUUGUUUGCGAAAUCAAACCCAUGUAUUACAAAAUAUUACCUAUUAGAUUAUUAAGAAUUGUUAAGAAUUACUUACUUAAAUGCUUUAUUUUGUAAAAAAAAAUAAUUUUGUAUUUCUCAAUAUCUGUCAUAGUAAUAUUAACAAAACUUUCGUGACAAAAUGUUGACAAGUUUUAAACGUAACCUUCAAGCUUGUCCGCAAGAGAAUAUCUAAUGUAUGAUCUGAAUCAGUAUUGUUUACAUAACAAUUGAUUUAGUAUCCAAAUAUUUUAUAUUUUGAUGUAUAGAGCUGUUUUCUGCUGAUAAAUUAAUUAAAUGUUUUGUCAUGUUAUGCCAGUUGUAAAAUAA
rnacentral:misc_RNA from 1 species